CUUCGCCUUUCCCUUCUGCGCUUGGGUGCACGCGGUGACAGACAGACGGAGGCGAGGGGCCCCUUCAAAACGGGGAGGAAAGAAACAAGAUUCACAGUGGUGACAUUUAGGUCUUGAUGUUGCCACAGGCCGUCUUGUCCGCUGUGGGAUGCUUAGCAGCAACGCUGGUAUCUGCCGACCAGACACAGUGCCGCUCAGCACUUUGCAUUGCGUCUCCCUCGUAAGAAACUGUCCUGGCUCCUCUCUACAAGAAGUCGGUGUCCUCCCUCCCAGACCCUGUGGAUGUCACUGGACAGGAUGAAAGGAUUGCAGGUCGACUAAGGAGUCCGUGUGAGUGAAAGAAGGACAUGGGGAAGGCAGAGAAGGGAACACGAUGAAGGAACCCGAGGCCAGAGGGGUAUGCUGUCUGCUUCAAAAAGGAAGAGCUCAGGGGCCGAGGAAUGUGAGCUGUGUCUAGAAGCUGUAAAAGGCAAGGGAAAGGCUCACUCCUAAAUCCUCCAGAAGCGAUGUGUCCAUCUCAAAACGUCCUUGAUUCCAAAACCGUAAAAUUGAUUUGUGUAAGCGAUGUUCAAGGGAAUCUGUUCUGGCAACAAAAGAAAAUGACCACAGGGUAGCUGAUUAAGUUUUUAAUGUCUUAUCCUGUUAGAAUUUCUGCAUUUGAACAAUCAAAUCUCAUCAGAUUGCUAUAAAACUCACGUGUGGGGCUGGAGGGAUGGCUUUAGGAGCACUUUCUGCUCUCCCGGAGGACCAAGGUUCAGUUCCCUGCACCCCACAAGGCAGCUCACAACUAUCUGUUAUUCCAGUCCCAGAAUGUAUGAUGCCCUCUUCUGGCCUCCUUGGGCACCACACAUGCAUUAGGUACACAGACAUACAUGUAGAUAAGACAACCAUACACAUAAAAAUAAAUAAAUAAAUAAGCUAAUUACUGCUGUGCUUCUCCUAAAAUAUGCUUAUCAUUCACUUUUAAGUAAAUAACAUAUUCCAAAAUUGUAAGACAGAGGCCAACACAAAUGUAAAUACCUCUAUCUGCCAUCAAAAGAUGAACAUAUUUGUUACUUUAUUUGCAUUUAAUUAAAUGUGUGGCAAAUUUUAAGUAGCUACUGACCAAAUCUCAAGAGAUAAAGCAGAUCUAAGAACCUGUGCUGGCUGAUCUUAUGUCAACUUGACGCACACACUAGAGUUAUCUGAAAGGAGGGAACCUCAAUUGAGGAGAGGCCUCCAUAAGAUCCUGCUGUAAGGCAUUCUCUUAAUCAGUGAUUGAUGAGGAGGGCCUAGCCCAUUGUGGGUGGUGCCACCCCUCGGAUGGUGGUCCUGGGUUCUAUAAGAAAGCAGGCUGAGCAAGCCAUGAUGAGCAAGUCAGUAAGCAGCACCCCUCCAUGGACCCUGCAUCAGCUCCUGCCUCCUGGUUCCUGCCCUGUUUGAGUUCCUGUCCUGACUUCCUUUGGUGAUGAACAGUGAUGUGCAAGUGUAAGCUUUUUCUUUUGGGGGGGGGACUUUGGGGGCAUGGUGUUUCGUCACAGAAAUAGAAACCCUAACUAAGAUAGGCCCUGACCAUACUGGCUUUUAACAGACUAAAGCUGGAUUCUGAAAACAGACUCUAACUUCAGAAGACAAAGGGGCAAAGUUGCCAGUGCCUCCUGGGGUGACUGUCGGGUGAGCAGACCUUCUGAUGGGUAGUUAGAAACAGCUGUCGCUGCAGCAACAGCUGAACGUGACAAAGAGCGGAACGCAGACCUCGCUCCUUAAUAUAGACCAAUGCCUGGCCGUACGCUCUCCUCGUCCACCACCUGUGUGGGGGCUGCUGCGGUGUGGGGGUCACUGCACGGUGCCCAAGGGGCCAGCAGCCCCCCAGAUUCCUAUGAUCACAAGCACUCUCCUAGUCAAGUGUGACUCACACAUUCCUAAGCUGUCCCUCAAAUAACUAAAACGAUAGCAUGAACCCCAAAGUCAACAGCUUGCCUUCCUACCUCCAACCAUACUGUUUAUUAUUAUUCUACAUUCAGCUCGUGGAACUUUCUGAAGAAAACGCUAAACAAAAGCUCGUCACCUACCUCCCCAGCAUACUUAUGAAAAAAAAUGAGAAUCCCUUCACUGUAGAGUUUUCCCUGAACAACAAGAAGAUAAGCAACCCACAGACACACAGAGAAAGACUGUAUGGCAGGGGGUGGGGGUGGGUCUCAAAAUAGCUUACCUGGAGGUCUUGGCAA